UGAACGCUGGCGGCAGGCCUACACAUGCAAGCUUGAGCGGAAACGGCAGUAUUGAAGCUUCUCGUGGAUUUACUGGACGUCGAGCGGCGGACGGGUGAGUAACGGCUGGGAACCUGCCCUGACGAGGGGGAUAACCGUUGGAAACGACGGCUAAUACCGCAUAAUGUCUUGAUUCGUUAGAGUCAGGACCAAAGGUGGCCUCUACAUGUAAGCUAUCGCGUUGGGAUGGGCCCAGUUAGGAUUAGCUAGUUGGUAAGGUAAUGGCUUACCAAGGCAACGAUCCUUAGCUGGUUUGAGAGGAUGAUCAGCCACACUGGGACUGAGACACGGCCCAGACUCCUACGGGAGGCAGCAGUGGGGAAUAUUGCACAAUGGGGGAGACCCUGAUGCAGCCAUGCCGCGUGUGUGAAGAAGGCCUUCGGGUUGUAAAGCACUUUCAGCAGUGAGUAAGUUCGUGUACUUAAUACGUGCACUGCUUGACAUUAGCUGCAUAAGAACCACCGGCUAACUCCGUGCCAGCAGCCGCGGUAAUACUGAGGGUGCGAGCGUUAAUCGGAAUUACUGGGCGUAAAGCGCAUGCAUGCGAUUUGUUAAGUCAGAUGUGAAAGCCCGGGGCUCAACCUCGGAACCGCAUUUGAAACUGGCAGGCUAGAGUCUUGUAGAGGGGGGUAGAAUUUCAGGUGUAGCGGUGAAAUGCGUAGAGAUCUGAAGGAAUACCAGUGGCGAAGGCGGCCCCCUGGACAAAGACUGACGCUCAGAUGCGAAAGCGUGGGUAGCAAACAGGAUUAGAUACCCUGGUAGUCCACGCCGUAAACGCUGUCUACUUGGAGGUUGAGGUUUUAGACUUUGGCUUUCGGCGCUAACGCAUUAAGUAGACCGCCUGGGGAGUACGGCCGCAAGGUUAAAACUCAAAUGAAUUGACGGGGGCCCGCACAAGCGGUGGAGCAUGUGGUUUAAUUCGAUGCAACGCGAAGAACCUUACCUACUCUUGACAUCCAGCGAAGCCUUUAGAGAUAGAGGCGUGCCUUCGGGAGCGCUGAGACAGGUGCUGCAUGGCUGUCGUCAGCUCGUGUUGUGAAAUGUUGGGUUAAGUCCCGCAACGAGCGCAACCCUUAUCCUUGUUUGCCAGCACGUAAUGGUGGGAACUCCAGGGAGACUGCCGGUGAUAAACCGGAGGAAGGUGGGGACGACGUCAAGUCAUCAUGGCCCUUACGAGUAGGGCUACACACGUGCUACAAUGGCAGAUACAGAGGGCAGCGAGACAGCGAUGUUUAGCGAAUCCCUUAAAGUUUGUCGUAGUCCGGAUUGGAGUCUGCAACUCGACUCCAUGAAGUCGGAAUCGCUAGUAAUCGUGGAUCAGAAUGCCACGGUGAAUACGUUCCCGGGCCUUGUACACACCGCCCGUCACACCAUGGGAGUGGGCUGCACCAGAAGUAGAUAGCUUAACCUUCGGGAGGGCGUUACCACGGUGUGGUUCAUGACUGGGGUGAAGUCGUAACAAG
rnacentral:rRNA from 1 species